AGUUAAACAGUACGUGAAAUUGUUGAAAGGGAAACGAUUGAAGCCAGUCGUACCUAUGGGUAAUCAGCCUUUUGGGUGUGAUUUUGUGGAGCGUGAGGAGUUAAACGCCUUCAUGCCUGCAUAUUCGUGCACUUUGGGUGUACUUGCCCGUGUGUAAGUUAACAUCAAUUUUGGUGGUCAUAAAAUGGCUGGAGGAAUGUAGCUUUGAUCUUGUAUUGAAGUGUUAUAGCCUUCGGUAGAUGUGACGAUCGGGAUUGAGGAUUGCAACGGAUACCCUUCGGGGCUACCUGUCUGAUCUCUGAUUGUUGCUCUGGUGCCGAAAGCUUGCUUACGGUUAUCAAAGUCGAUGUUCAAUAGGUUAGAAUUGGUUAAAUUCGUUAAGGAUGUUGACGUAAUGGCUUUAAA
rnacentral:misc_RNA from 1 species